CAAGGAUAUAAGCUGCUGCUGCAGUGCUGAUUGCCAAAUGUUUGAAGAAAUGGCUCCACUUCGGUCCUCAGGAUAUAUUGAUCCUGGAUGGGAGCAUGGCAUUGCUCAAGAUGAAAGAAAGAAGAAGGUCAAAUGCAACUACUGUGGGAAAAUAGUCAGUGGUGGAAUAUUCAGGUUGAAGCAACAUUUAGCUAGAAUGUCUGGUGAAGUUACUCACUGUGUUAAGGUUCCUGAGGAAGUAUGCUUCAAUAUGAGAAAAAACCUGGAAGGAUGCCGUUCAGGUCGAAAACGAAGGCAAACUGAAUAUGAACAGGCACCUUUAGCUUUCCACUCUAAUGAAUAUGAUGACAUGGAAGAAGCUUCUUGUAGUUACAAACAAAAAGGCAAAAGGGUGGUGGGUGACAAGAACUUGGUUAUAAGGUUUGCUUCUCUUCGAUCCUUAGGAUAUGUGGACCCGGGCUGGGAACACUGUGUUGCUCAAGAUGAAAAGAAGAAAAGGGUGAAGUGCAACUACUGUGAAAAAAUUAUUAGUGGAGGCAUAAACCGAUUUAAACAACAUCUGGCUAGGAUCCCUGGGGAAGUUGCCUACUGUGACAAGGCACCUGAGGAAGUGUACCUUAGAAUCAAGGAGAACAUGAAAUGGCACCGUACUGGAAGAAGGAAUCGGAAACUUGAAUCUAAAGAUAUAUCCACUUUCUAUACCAACUCAGACAAUGAGGAUGAAGAGGAGGAACAUGAGGGAGGGUUGUUGCAAUAUUCAAGUAAAGAUUUGCUGGUCAUUGAUGAUAAAUUUUCUGACAAUGACAUCAGAAAUAACAUCAAGGGGAGGUCCCCUGGUAGCAGCAGCAAUGGUGCUGAACCACCAAUGAAAAGAUCAAGAUUGGAUUCAGUGUUUUUGAAGUCUCUUAAAAGCCAAACAUCAUCACACUACAGGCAAACAAAAGCAAAGAUGGGUUUUGAGAAGAAAGCUCGAAAGGAAGUGAUCUCUGCCAUCUGCAAAUUCUUUUAUCAUGCAGGAUUGCCUUCAAAUGCAGCAAAUUCCCCAUAUUUCCACAAAAUGCUGGAGUUGGUUGGCCAGUAUGGGCCAGGUCUGCAAGGUCCUUCCAGCCGACUGAUAUCUGGUCGAUUUCUUCAGGAUGAGAUCACUACCAUUAAAGAGUAUCAAGAAGAAUUUAAGGCAUCUUGGAUGAUUACUGGUUGUUCUAUUGUGGCUGAUAGUUGGAAUGAUCUCCAGGGUAGGACAUCAAUAAACCUUUUGGUCUGUUGUCCCCGAGGUGUAUAUUUUGUUUCUUCUGUUGAUGCCACUGAUAUAAUAGAAGAUGCCGCCAGCCUUUUCAAGUUGUUGGACAAGGUGGUGGAAGAGAUUGGUGAGGAAAAUGUUGUUCAGGUAAUCACUAAGAACACUGCCAGUUUUAAGGCCGCUGGGAAGAUGCUAGAAGAGAAAAGGAGAAAUUUAUUUUGGACACCAUGUGCUAUCCAUUGCAUUGAUCAAAUGGUAGAGGAUUUUUUGAAUAUAAAAUGGGUAGGAGAGUGCGUAGAUAAAGCUAAAAGAGUUACAAGGUUCAUUUACAACAAUACUUGGUUGUUGAAUUAUAUGAAGAAAGAGUUCACAAAGGGACAGGAACUUCUCAGGCCAACUGUUACUAAAUAUGGCACUACAUUCUUCACUUUACAAAGUUUUUUGGACCAAAGGGUGGGUCUUAAGAGAAUGUUCCAAUCAAAUAAAUGGAUAUCCUCUCGAUUUACCAAAUCAGAUGAUGGUAGAGAAGUCGAAAAAAUUGUCUUAAAUUCCACAUUCUGGAAGAAGAUACAGUAUGUGAUAAAAUCUUUAGAACCAGUUGCACUUGUUCUUCAGAAGAUAGAUAGUGAUGAAACCCAAUCAAUAGCACAUAUAUAUAAUGACAUGUGUAGAGCUAAACAUGCAAUUAAAGCUAUUCAUGGGGAUGAUGCACGAAAAUAUGGACCUUUCUGGAGCGUGAUAGAAAACCAAUGGAGCUCCUUGUUUCACCACCCUCUUUAUGUGGCUACUUACUUUCUUAAUCCAUCUUACCGCUAUCGUCCUGAUUUCCUAUUGAAUCCUGAGGUUAUUCGUGGCCUAAAUGAAUGCAUUGUUCGAUUAGAAGCUGACACCGGGAAAAGAGUUUCUGCAUCCAUGCAGAUACCUGAUUUUGUGUCUGCCAAAGCGGAUUUUGGAACUGAUUUGGCUAUAAGUACUAGAAUGGAGCUCAAUCCAGCUGCAUGGUGGCAGCAACAUGGGAUAAAUUGCUUGGAGCUUCAACGAAUUGCCAUUCGCAUGCUAAGCCAGACAUGCUCAUCUCUUGUAUGUGAACACACGUGGAGUAUAUAUGAUCAAGUUCAUAGUAAAAGGCAUAGUAGUGUGUCUAGGAAGAGAUGGAAUGAGCUUACCUAUGUCCAUUACAAUUUGCGACUAAGAGAACGACAACAAGGAAGAAAGCCUGGUGAUGUGAUCUCAUUUGACAACUUAAUUACAGAAAACAUACUGGAUGACUGGCUUGUGGAGUCAGACAAACAACCCAUGCAAGAAGACGAGGAGAUCCUUUAUAAUGAGAUGGAACAAUUUGAUGGAGACGUAAUGGAUGAGAAUGACCAUCAAGAAAAGAGACCUGCAGAUAUGGUGACAUUGGCAGGGGGGGUACUUGAGCCUUUGGAUGUUAUUCCUGCUGCCGGAGGAGUUACCACAGAAGAUGACGGUCUUGAUUUUCUUGAUGAUGAUUUGACAGAUUAGUUAAUAUGUAUGUGGCUCAUCAAACCUGGAUAUAGGUCCACUUGUCAAUGAUGCACUUCUGCCUAUUCUCAUUUGACAUGCACGUGCAGAAGGAGAAGGUUCAGCUUCAGCUACCUAUGCUCGAGUUGUGAAGACUGGAGUGCCAAGAGCACAUGGUGGAAGAAGUAAUCGUGCUCUGAUUCAGAUCCCUUUUUUUUUACUCCGGGAACAGCUGGACUGGGGAGGUUAAAUGCCACCUCGUGAUUACCAGUGUCAACCCAAAGGAUUGCCAAUUUUCUAGCCAGAAGCUUUAUGUCUGGAGUAUGUGGUCACAUCAAAAUCUUUGAUUGUUUUGCUUCUCAGGGCUCACGAAAAGCAGAGCGAGGUCCCAUGCAUGGCCAAGACUAGAAUUCCAGGAAGUAGUGUAUCAUUGAUCAUUUGACCAGUAAUACAAAAUAAAGGAGGAGAAACCGAAACGAAGCUCAACUCGGAUAAAGGAACAAUGAAAAGUAUCCUUGAACACGGAUUCCCAAUGCUCCAUAGGAUUAUGAUUUAUGAUUACAAAUAAUUCCAGGUAAAAAGACAAUGUUUUCAGCGACAUGUGUUUCGCUGAAGUGUAUAUUUACGAAGUACUGUUCAAUAUGAACCGACUCAGUGCUCACCAAGAUCAGCAAGCCUUAUUCAGACUUUAUAUUCGAAUAGUCUCAAUUACAAAGAUACUCAAGCUUUAAUUUAGAUAUAAAUGUGACGAAGUUCCUUCAAAUA